rnacentral:rRNA from 1 species
AGCGAACGCUGGCGGCAGGCCUAACACAUGCAAGUCGAACGAACCUUUCGGGGUUAGUGGCGGACGGGUGAGUAACACGUGGUAACGUGCCUUUAGGUUCGGAAUAACUCAGGGAAACUUGUGCUAAUACCGCAUGUGCCCUUCGGGGGAAAGAUUACUCGCCUUUAGAGCGGCCCGCGUCUGAUUAGCUAGUUGGUUGAGGUAAUGGCUCACCAAGGCGACGAUCAGUAGCUGGUCUGAGAGGAUGAUCAGCCACAUUGGGACUGAGACACGGCCCAAACUCCUACGGGAGGCAGCAGUGGGGAAUAUUGCGGAAUGGGCGAAAGCCUGACGCAGCCAUGCCGCGUGAAUGAUGAAGGUCUUAGGAUUGUAAAAUUCUUUCACCGGGGACGAUAAUGACGGUACCCGGAGAAGAAGCCCCGGCUAACUUCGUG